CCUACGGGAGGCAGCAGUGAGGAAUAUUGGUCAAUGGACGAGAGUCUGAACCAGCCAAGUAGCGUGAAGGAUGACUGCCCUAUGGGUUGUAAACUUCUUUUAUCUGGGAAUAAAAUGUUCCACGUGUGGGUUUUUGUAUGUACCAUAUGAAUAAGGAUCGGCUAACUCCGUGCCAGCAGCCGCGGUAAUACGGAGGAUCCGAGCGUUAUCCGGAUUUAUUGGGUUUAAAGGGUGCGUAGGUGGAUUGUUAAGUCAGUUGUGAAAGUUUGCGGCUCAACCGUAAGAUUGCAGUUGAAACUGGCAGUCUUGAGUACAGUAGAGGUAGGCGGAAUGCGUGGUGUAGCGGUGAAAUGCUUAGAUAUCACGAAGAACUCCGAUUGCGAAGGCAGCUCACUGGACUGCAACUGACACUGAGGCUCGAAAGUGUGGGUAUCAAACAGGAUUAGAUAUCCCUGUAGUC
rnacentral:rRNA from 1 species